rnacentral:rRNA from 1 species
AGUCGAGCGAACAGAUAAGGAGCUUGCUCCUUUGACGUAGCGGCGGACGGGUGAGUAACACGUGGGUAACCUACCUAUGAGACUGGGACAACUUCGGGAAACCGGAGCUAAUACCGGAUAAUAUGUUGAACCGCGUGGUUCAGUAGUGAAAGAUGGUUUUGCUAUCACUUAUAGAUGGACCCGCGCCGUAUUAGCUAGUUGGUGAGGUAACGGCUCACCAAGGCAACAAUACGUAGCCAACCUGAGAGGGUGAUCGGCCACACUGGAACUGAGACACGGUCCAAACUCCUACGGGAGGCAGCGUUAGGGAAUCUUCCGCAAUGGGCGAAAGCCUGACGGAGCAACGCCGCGUGAGUGAUGAAGGUCUUAGGAUCGUAAAAUUCUGUUAUUAGGGAAGAACAAACGUGUAAGUAACUUCACGUCUUAACGGUACCUAAUCAGAAAGCCACGGCUAACUACGUGCCAGCAGCCGCGGUAAUACGUAGGUGGCAAGCGUUAUCCGGAAUUAUUGGGCGUAAAGCGCGCGUAGGCGGUUUUUUAAGUCUGAUGUGAAAGCCCACGGCUCAACCGUGGAGGGUCAUUGGAAACUGGAAAACUUGAGUGCAGAAGAGGAAAGUGGAAUUCCAUGUGUAGCGGUGAAAUGCGCAGAGAUAUGGAGGAACACCAGUGGCGAAGGCGACUUUCUGGUCUGUAACUGACGCUGAUGUGCGAAAGCGUGGGGAUCAAACAGGAUUAGAUACCCUGGUAGUCCACGCCGUAAACGAUGAGUGCUAAUGUUAGGGGGUUUCCGCCCCUUAGUGCUGCAGCUAACGCAUUAAGCACUCCGCCUGGGGAGUACGACCGCAAGGUUGAAACUCAAAGGAAUUGACGGGGACCCGCACAAGCGGUGGAGCAUGUGGUUUAAUUCGAACAACGCGAAAACCUUACCAAAUCUUGACAUCCUUUGACCUCUAGAGAUAGAGUUUUCCCUUCGGGGGAAAAGUGACAGGUGGUGCAUGGUUGUCUCCCCUCGUGCCAGAUGUGGGUUAAUCCCCACGAGCGCACCUUAACUUAUUUCCUUUUAUUGGCCUCUAGUUGAUUGCUGUGAAAACCGAAGAAGUGGGGAUGAGUCAAUCAUCUGCCCUUAAGAUUGGGCUACCGUGCUACAUGGACAUACAAAGG